CUUCAGCUUGCUGAAGCUAGUAAAGUGGCGUACGGGUGAGUAACGCGUGGGUAAUCUACCUUCGAAUUGGGGAUAACGUUGCGAAAGUGACGCUAAUACCGGAUAAUAUCAUAGAGACCUUGGUUUUUAUGAUCAAAGAUGGCCUCUCCUUGGAAGCUAUUGUUUGGAGAUGAGCCCGCGUCCCAUUAGCUUGUUGGUAGGGUAAUGGCCUACCAAGGCGACGAUGGUUAGCGGGUCUGAGAGGAUGAUCCGCCACACUGGAACUGGAACACGGACCAGACUCCUACGGGAGGCAGCAGUGGGGAAUUUUCCGCAAUGGGCGAAAGCCUGACGGAGCAACGCCGCGUGAGGGACGAAGGCCUCUGGGCUGUAAACCUCUUUUCUCAAGGAAGAAGACCUGACGGUACUUGAGGAAUAAGCCACGGCUAAUUCCGUGCCAGCAGCCGCGGUAAUACGGGAGUGGCAAGCGUUAUCCGGAAUUAUUGGGCGUAAAGCGUCCGCAGGCGGCCUUGUAAGUCUGCUGUCAAAGAGUGGAGCUCAACUCCAUAGAGGCAGUGGAAACUGUAAGGCUUGAGUGUGGUAGGGGCAGAGGGAAUUCCCGGUGUAGCGGUGAAAUGCGUAGAUAUCGGGAAGAACACCAGUGGCGAAGGCGCUCUGCUGGGCCAUAACUGACGCUCAUGGACGAAAGCCAGGGGAGCGAAAGGGAUUAGAUACCCUGGUA
rnacentral:rRNA from 1 species